UACGUAGGGGGUAAGCGUUAUCCGGAAUCACUGGGUGUAAAGGGAGCGUAGACGGCUGUGCAAGCCUGAAGUGAAAGGCGGGGGCCCAACCCCCGGACUGCUUUGGGAACUGUACGGCUGGAGUGCAGGAGAGGUAAGUGGAAUUCCUAGUGUAGCGGUGAAAUGCGUAGAUAUUAGGAGGAACACCAGUGGCGAAGGCGGCUUACUGGACUGUAACUGACGUUGAGGCUCGAAAGCGUGGGGAGCAAACAGG
rnacentral:rRNA from 1 species